rnacentral:rRNA from 1 species
UACGAAGGGGGCUAGCGUUACUCGGAUUGACUGGGCGUAAAGGGCGCGUAGGCGGCUUGUACAGUCAGACGUGAAAUUCCUGGGCUCAACCUGGGGGCUGCGUUUGAUACGUGCGGGCUUGAGUUCGGAAGAGGGUCGUGGAAUUCCCAGUGUAGUGGUGAAAUACGUAGAGAUUGGGAAGAACACCAGUGGCGAAGGCGGCUAUCUGGACGGUUUCUGACACUAAGACACGAAAGCGUGGGGAGCAAACAGG